rnacentral:lncRNA from 1 species
UAGAUACUCCCUCCGGUCCUUUUUACUCCGCAUAUUAGAAUUGUAUCAAGUCAAACUUUACAAAGUUUGACCAAAUAUAUAUUAAAAAAUAUCAACAUCUACAGUACCAAAUACACAUUUCAUGAAACUACAUUUCGUAAUGAAUCUAACAAUAUUAAUUUGACAUUGUGAAUGUUGAUAUAUGUUUCUAUAAAUUUGGUCAAAGUAGAGAUACU